UACGUAGGGUGCGAGCGUUAAUCGGAAUUACUGGGCGUAAAGCGUGCGCAGGCGGUUUUGUAAGCCAGAUGUGAAAUCCCCGGGCUCAACCUGGGAAUUGCGUUGGAGACUGCAAGGCUGGAAUCUGGCAGAGGGGGGUAGAAUUCCACGUGUAGCAGUGAAAUGCGUAGAGAUGUGGAGGAACACCGAUGGCGAAGGCAGCCCCCUGGGUCAAGAUUGACGCUCAUGCACGAAAGCGUGGGGAGCAAACAGG
rnacentral:rRNA from 1 species